CCUACGGGAGGCAGCAGUGGGGAAUCUUGCGCAAUGGGCGAAAGCCUGACGCAGCAACGCCGCGUGCGGGAAGAAGGCUUUCGGGCUGUAAACCGCUUUCAGCAGGAACGAAAAUGACGGUACCUGCAGAAGAAGGAGCGGCCAACUAUGUGCCAGCAGCCGCGGUGAUACAUAGGCUUCAAGCGUUGUCCGGAUUUAUUGGGCGUAAAGAGUUCGUAGGCGGUCGAGUAAGUCGGGUGUGAAAAUUCUGGGCUCAACCCAGAGACGCCACCCGAUACUGCUUAACUUGAGUUCGAUAGGGGAGUGGGGAAUUCCUAGUGUAGCGGUGAAAUGCGCAGAUAUUAGGGGGAACACCGGUGGCGAAGGCGCCACUCUGGAUCGAUACUGACGCUGAGGAACGAAAGCAUGGGUAGCAAACAGGAUUAGAUACCCUGGUAGUCCAUGCCGUAAACGGUGGGCACUAGGUGUGGGAUUCUAUUAACGAAUUCCGCGCCGUCGCUAACGCAUUAAGUGCCCCGCCUGGGGGAGGUACGGUCGCGACGAACGUAAACUUAAAAGUAAAGUUAGUACGGACGUGAGACGUGCCGACGGACGACGACGAGGGAGGUAGG
rnacentral:rRNA from 1 species